rnacentral:lncRNA from 1 species
AUAAAGCGGCUGAGCGGUUGUUACAGAUAAGGCAGUUUUGUGUGCACUCUGCAUGCAGAAUAGACUUUACUAGCAACAGCAGAGAGAGUGAGCAGGAUAUGGUUGGGUGAGUGUCCAACGAGAGGGGAGCUGAAGCCUUUGGCAAGUGUACCAUGAAACCACUCAUCUACCUCCUCCUGCCUGUCCUCUGUCAUCUCUGCAGCGCCAAAUUCACACAGUCCUCUGACAAGGUGGCCAAAGAAGGAUCAGACUUGGAAUUACAAUGCCAACACAACAUUCCUGCUGGAAAUUAUGACUCUGUCUACUGGUACCUCCAGAAGACCAAUCAGAAACUCACUUAUGUCCAUCACGGAUUUCAAGACAUCACGGAAGCUGGGCAUUAUCAGAUAAAUGUGGAUAGGAAAAAGUGCUGCAGUAAAUUAAUCAUCAGGAAUGUGCAUCUAAGUGACGUGGCUGUAUAUUACUGUGCUUUACAAGGACACUGUGAUUCAUGCCACACACGACACCAAACAAAAACUGCAUGUUUCAAGUGUGAUGCGAAACAAAGAGAACCCAGUAACUAAGAGAAUAAACCAAUGUGACCCACAGGGGGCCUGUGUUCU